rnacentral:rRNA from 1 species
UAGAUUAAGUUAUUAAGGGCGCACGGUGGAUGCCUUGGCACUAGAAGCCGAUGAAGGACGUUACUAACGACGAUAUGCUUUGGGGAGCUGUAAGUAAGCUUUGAUCCAGAGAUUUCCGAAUGGGGAAACCCAGCAUGAGUUAUGUCAUGUUAUCGAUAUGUGAAUACAUAGCAUAUCAGAAGGCACACCCGGAGAACUGAAACAUCUUAGUACCCGGAGGAAGAGAAAGAAAAUUCGAUUCCCUUAGUAGCGGCGAGCGAAACGGGAAGAGCCCAAACCAACAAGCUUGCUUGUUGGGGUUGUAGGACACUCUAUACGGAGUUACAAAGGACGACAUUAGACGAAUCAUCUGGAAAGAUGAAUCAAAGAAGGUAAUAAUCCUGUAGUCGAAAAUGUUGUCUCUCUUGAGUGGAUCCUGAGUACGACGGAGCACGUGAAAUUCCGUCGGAAUCUGGGAGGACCAUCUCCUAAGGCUAAAUACUCUCUAGUGACCGAUAGUGAACCAGUACCGUGAGGGAAAGGUGAAAAGCACCCCGGAAGGGGAGUGAAAUAGAACCUGAAACCGUGUGCUUACAAGUAGUCAGAGCCCGUUAAUGGGUGAUGGCGUGCCUUUUGUAGAAUGAACCGGCGAGUUACGAUUUGAUGCAAGGUUAAGCAGUAAAUGUGGAGCCGUAGCGAAAGCGAGUCUGAAUAGGGCGUUUAGUAUUUGGUCGUAGACCCGAAACCAGGUGAUCUACCCUUGGUCAGGUUGAAGUUCAGGUAACACUGAAUGGAGGACCGAACCGACUUACGUUGAAAAGUGAGCGGAUGAACUGAGGGUAGCGGAGAAAUUCCAAUCGAACCUGGAGAUAGCUGGUUCUCUCCGAAAUAGCUUUAGGGCUAGCCUCAAGUGAUGAUUAUUGGAGGUAGAGCACUGUUUGGACGAGGGGCCCCUCUCGGGUUACCGAAUUCAGACAAACUCCGAAUGCCAAUUAAUUUAACUUGGGAGUCAGAACAUGGGUGAUAAGGUCCGUGUUCGAAAGGGAAACAGCCCAGACCACCAGCUAAGGUCCCAAAAUAUAUGUUAAGUGGAAAAGGAUGUGGCGUUGCCCAGACAACUAGGAUGUUGGCUUAGAAGCAGCCAUCAUUUAAAGAGUGCGUAAUAGCUCACUAGUCGAGUGACACUGCGCCGAAAAUGUACCGGGGCUAAACAUAUUACCGAAGCUGUGGAUUGUCCUUUGGACAAUGGUAGGAGAGCGUUCUAAGGGCGUUGAAGCAUGAUCGUAAGGACAUGUGGAGCGCUUAGAAGUGAGAAUGCCGGUGUGAGUAGCGAAAGACGGGUGAGAAUCCCGUCCACCGAUUGACUAAGGUUUCCAGAGGAAGGCUCGUCCGCUCUGGGUUAGUCGGGUCCUAAGCUGAGGCCGACAGGCGUAGGCGAUGGAUAACAGGUUGAUAUUCCUGUACCACCUAUAAUCGUUUUAAUCGAUGGGGGACGCAGUAGGAUAGGCGAAGCGUGCGAUUGGAUUGCACGUCUAAGCAGUAAGGCUGAGUAUUAGGCAAAUCCGGUACUCGUUAAGGCUGAGCUGUGAUGGGGAGAAGACAUUGAGUCUUCGAGUCGUUGAUUUCACACUGCCGAGAAAAGCCUCUAGAUAGAAAAUAGGUGCCCGUACCGCAAACCGACACAGGUAGUCAAGAUGAGAAUUCUAAGGUGAGCGAGCGAACUCUCGUUAAGGAACUCGGCAAAAUGACCCCGUAACUUCGGGAGAAGGGGUGCUCUUUAGGGUUAACGCCCAGAGGAGCCGCAGUGAAUAGGCCCAAGCGACUGUUUAUCAAAAACACAGGUCUCUGCUAAACCGUAAGGUGAUGUAUAGGGGCUGACGCCUGCCCGGUGCUGGAAGGUUAAGAGGAGUGGUUAGCUUCUGCGAAGCUACGAAUCGAAGCCCCAGUAAACGGCGGCCGUAACUAUAACGGUCCUAAGGUAGCGAAAUUCCUUGUCGGGUAAGUUCCGACCCGCACGAAAGGCGUAACGAUUUGGGCACUGUCUCAACGAGAGACUCGGUGAAAUCAUAGUACCUGUGAAGAUGCAGGUUACCCGCGACAGGACGGAAAGACCCCGUGGAGCUUUACUGUAGCCUGAUAUUGAAAUUCGGCACAGCUUGUACAGGAUAGGUAGGAGCCUUUGAAACGUGAGCGCUAGCUUACGUGGAGGCGCUGGUGGGAUACUACCCUAGCUGUGUUGGCUUUCUAACCCGCACCACUUAUCGUGGUGGGAGACAGUGUCAGGCGGGCAGUUUGACUGGGGCGGUCGCCUCCUAAAAGGUAACGGAGGCGCUCAAAGGUUCCCUCAGAAUGGUUGGAAAUCAUUCAUAGAGUGUAAAGGCAUAAGGGAGCUUGACUGCGAGACCUACAAGUCGAGCAGGGUCGAAAGACGGACUUAGUGAUCCGGUGGUUCCGCAUGGAAGGGCCAUCGCUCAACGGAUAAAAGCUACCCGGGGAUAACAGGCUUAUCUCCCCCAAGAGUUCACAUCGACGGGGAGGUUUGGCACCUCGAUGUCGGCUCAUCGCAUCCUGGGGCUGUAGUCGGUCCCAAGGGUUGGGCUGUUCGCCCAUUAAAGCGGUACGCGAGCUGGGUUCAGAACGUCGUGAGACAGUUCGGUCCCUAUCCGUCGUGGGCGUAGGAAAUUUGAGAGGAGCUGUCCUUAGUACGAGAGGACCGGGAUGGACAUACCUCUGGUGUACCAGUUGUCGUGCCAACGGCAUAGCUGGGUAGCUAUGUGUGGACGGGAUAAGUGCUGAAAGCAUCUAAGCAUGAAGCCCCCUCAAGAUGAGAUUUCCCAACUUCGGUUAUAAGAUCCCUCAAAGAUGAUGAGGUUAAUAGGUUCGAGGUGGAAGCAUGGUGACAUGUGGAGCUGACGAAUACUAAUCGAUCGAAGACUUAAUCAA